rnacentral:rRNA from 1 species
UACGUAGGGCGCAAGCGUUGUCCGGAAUUAUUGGGCGUAAAGAGCUCGUAGGCGGUUUGUCGCGUCUGCUGUGAAAACCUCAGGCUCAACCUGGGGCUUGCAGUGGGUACGGGCAGACUAGAGUGCGGUAGGGGUGACUGGAAUUCCUGGUGUAGCGGUGAAAUGCGCAGAUAUCAGGAGGAACACCGGUGGCGAAGGCGGGUCUCUGGGCCGAUACUGACGCUGAGACGCGAAAGCGUGGGGAGCGAACAGG